rnacentral:rRNA from 1 species
GACGAACGCUGGCGGCGUGCCUAAUACAUGCAAGUUGAGCGCUGAAGGUUGGUACUUGUACCAACUGGAUGAGCAGCGAACGGGUGAGUAACGCGUGGGGAAUCUGCCUUUGAGCGGGGGACAACAUUUGGAAACGAAUGCUAAUACCGCAUAAAAACUUUAAACACAAGUUUUAAGUUUGAAAGAUGCAAUUGCAUCACUCAAAGAUGAUCCCGCGUUGUAUUAGCUAGUUGGUGAGGUAAAGGCUCACCAAGGCGAUGAUACAUAGCCGACCUGAGAGGGUGAUCGGCCACAUUGGGACUGAGACACGGCCCAAACUCCUACGGGAGGCAGCAGUAGGGAAUCUUCGGCAAUGGACGAAAGUCUGACCGAGCAACGCCGCGUGAGUGAGGAAGGUUUUCGGAUCGUAAAACUCUGUUGGUAGAGAAGAACGUUGGGGAGAGUGGAAAGCUCAUCAAGUGACGGUAACUACCCAGAAAGGGACGGCUAACUACGUG